UCCUUCCUCCUGACGUCAGGAUGCUGGGAGUGGGAGCGCAAGGGAGGCAGGUGGGAGGGAUUACGAUGGAAACUUCUGCAGACUUUAAAGAGACAUCGCCGGGAGGGAAGACCCAACUCAAGUCGUCCAGCUACAAAAGAGAGCAGAGAUCCUGCCCCUUUAACGAUGGGGGAAAGCAGAAGGUUGUCAUGCAGGGAGAAAAGUUUACCCUGCUAAAAUUCCCACUCUUAUAGAACACACAGAGAGCCCCAUUGUCCUAUAUCACCUUGCAAGCCCUGGGCAAGAUACAUGUGGUGAUCAAAACAGGGGGAGAGACUCUUUCCUGUCAUCCAGAGAGCAAAAUCUUUUGUGGCGGCAGUUGGUGGAAAGAGGCGCUGCUGCCUUACCUGGAAUGAUUGCCUGGCAUGCUACUUUAUAAACAACUAUAUAAUAAUAUAGGCUAAGAACUUUGUUCCAAGAGCAGCCUCAUCCCUCACACCAGUGACUAUAUGAUCAUCUUGCAAGGAUAAAGGCUGUGGCCCUCUGCUGAAUUCAGUCAGAAUAACAUUGAAGCAAACAUGUUUCAGGAUCAUACUGAGCAGUCCCUGACAUCAACAGCUAUAGCUCUGUAGACUCCAUGGGAAUAAUUUUCAACUGACAGCAUGUGAUCAUUCUGGGGAAACAGAUCUAACUAGAGUCCAAUGUAAAAUUGUACUAAUGAGCUUCAAUUAAAUUAAACACAUGCAUGUGAAAUAA